UCGAGUAGCUUCUUUGGUUAUAGUUAUACUAUCUGCAGUAUCAUUUGAUCCAUUCCAAAUGUGAUCCACUUAUCUUUUGGAUUUUUUAAACUAUUGUUGAUUCUGUUAAUAAAGAUUACCUUUUGAAAUUUGCAGGCUCGAAGAUCUGUCAUUCAUGUUGUUUGAAAUUUACAAAGGCUACAACUUUACUUGUGUCUUUUACCUCAAAUAUGUGUUCCCAAUACAACUGGCAAUUACUUGAUAUCUACCCACUGGCAGUACCAGGACCACCACCACCAUCAACAUUCACAGAGUAAUCCUUGGAAGUAUUGGGUGAUCCGAGCAAGUGCUCUGUCUCUUCUGGAAAGUAAUGAUCUGCAGAACCCCAUGGAUGCUUUGUCAUAAUCAUUCCUUCUAGCUCCAUGGCUACUUCUCUCAUGAUAUUCAGGGUCCAGGUAUCCUACUGUCCCGAGCACCACAGUUUGUAUUCCAGCUUCACCUGAAGCAACCAAUCGUGAAGCUCCAAAGUCUGACACUUUCGUCGUAUACUUAUCAUCUAACAGAAUAUUCGCUGCUUUGACAUCUCGAUGUAUGAUUGGUGUGGAAAUUGAGGAGUGUAAAUGGGCUAGUGCUCCUGCUGCUUCAGCUGCUAUCUUCAAUCGUAAUUCAAAUGAGAGUGAUGAUCUUUUCUUAUGAAUGUGCUCAUGAAGAGUGCCAU